rnacentral:rRNA from 1 species
AGCGAACGCUGGCGGCAGGCUUAACACAUGCAAGUCGAGCGCCCCGCAAGGGGAGCGGCAGACGGGAGCGUAACACGUGGGAACAUACCUUUUGGUUCGGAACAACUGAGGGAAACUUCAGCUAAUACCGGAUAAGCCCUUACGGGGAAAGAUUUAUCGCCGAAAGAUUGGCCCGCGUCUGAUUAGCUAGUUGGUGAGGUAACGGCUCACCAAGGCGACGAUCAGUAGCUGGUCUGAGAGGAUGAUCAGCCUCACUGGGACUGAGACACGGCCCAGACUCCUACGGGAGGCAGCAGUGGGGAAUAUUGGACAAUGGGGGCAACCCUGAUCCAGCCAUGCCGCGUGAGUGAUGAAGGCCUUAGGGUUGUAAAGCUCUUUUGCCCGGGAAGAUAAUGACGGUACCGGGAGAAUAAGCCCCGGCUAACUUCGUG